UCCUCCCUCAUCCGCGUCCGCCUCCAGCCUCUGCGUCCGUGUCUAAAACUAAAUCCCUCUGCAUCUGCCUCCAUCCUCAUCCCCAUCUGCCUCCAGCCUCGUCCGGGUCCGCCUCCAGCCUCCGCGAGUAUGCGUCCGUCCGUUCGGUGCCAUUUCAGAUGCAACAGUUUGAUGCAUAUUUGGAUGAACCUGUCUUACCUCGAACAUCCGAUUUUGACCUUUUGAGUUGGAGACAUAUUAGCCAUCCCGUUAUCUAGUGUUGCAUCAGAGUCUGCUUUUAGUACCUAUGGUAGAAUUGUAAGCCCACAUUGUAACAAACUUCAUCCAAAGAUGAUAGAGGUUUUGAUGUGCGCUCAAAAUUGGAUUGCAACUGAAGUUUUGACAGGUACUAGCACGGAAAAGAAAUAGUUACACAUUUAGCAACUGUUUUAGAAGAUGCAGAUGAUUCUGAUAAAGAUUGCCUGGUGACUAAGGAAUGAAUACAACUAAGGAUGUGAUGAUGCCAAGAAAGGUGAAAGAUUUGAUUGUAACGUCGUUGAAGAGAGAAAUACGAGCUUUAUUGAAUUUUAAGUUGUAAACUUAUUUGAAUGUAUAAGACGUUUGACUUUAAUUGACUUCCUUAUUCAAACUUUAUUAAA